GAUGAAGAACGCAGCGAAAUGCGAUAAGUAAUGUGAAUUGCAGAAUUCAGUGAAUCAUCGAAUCUUUGAACGCACAUUGCGCCCGCCAGUAUUCUGGCGGGCAUGCCUGUUCGAGCGUCAUUACAACCCUCAGGCCCCCGGGCCUGGCGUUGGGGAUCGGCGGAGCCCCCCGUGGGCACACGCCGUCCCCCAAAUGCAGUGGCGGUCCCGCCGCAGCUUCCAUCGCGUAGUAGCUAACACCUCGCGACUGGAGAGCGGCGCGGCCACGCCGUAAAACACCCAACUCUUCUGAAGUUGACCUCGAAUCAGGUAGGAAUACCCGCUGAACUUAAGCAUAUCAAUAAGCGGAGA
rnacentral:misc_RNA from 1 species